rnacentral:rRNA from 1 species
UGUAAGCGUAUACCAAAGUUGUUGCAGUUAAAACGCUCGUAGUCGGAAUUUGGCAGUUCCGGAUGUGUGCACGUCGUGUGCGCACUUCGCGGAGAUUGCUUUUGUGGUCUUGCGUAGGAUGAGGCACUUUUAUUAGUGAACGUCCUCACGCAACCACUUUUUACUGUGAGAAAAUCAGAGUGCUCAAAGCAGGCAUUUGCCGUGAAUGUAUUAGCAUGGAAUAAUAGAAUAGGACUUGGUUCUAUUUUGUUGGUUUGUUGGGACUGAGUAAUGAUUAAGAGGGACAGUUGGGGGCAUUUGUAUUUCGGUGCUAGAGGUGAAAUUCUUAGAUUACCGAAAGACAAACUGCUGCGAAAGCGUCUGCCAAGGAUGUUUUCAUUGA